rnacentral:lncRNA from 1 species
UAUGUAUACUGGACUUGUGGACAACAUGAUGUCUAUUAAAAAUGAAGGGCAAAUAACAAUGUCAACCUCGAAGCACAAAGUAGAUAAGCCUUUUCGACAUGGCUAUGAUAGGACAGUGUGCACUAGACUGAUGAAAUGUGACAUUGCCACUCAGUCAAGUGAAGCAACAAUAUCAUGCCAAUACUAACAGGGAGCAGAUUCAUAGAUCACAAAUCAAUAUCAAUUUGGAUGUCACCAAGUCUGACAUCCUACUGGAGAUGAAGAACUUCGCUGAGCAGAUCCUUCCUGAACAGAAGAAAAAGGUCCUUUCACCUGCUAACACACUUCCCUGCUGCCAAGAGGGAAGCUGAGAUGGUGCUACUAAAUCCCAGCAACUCCAAUGAUUACACAGACAUGAAAUGAAACUAUUCCAUGAUUUCCACUCCUGUGUGCAAGACAGACAUACCGGUGCCUGUCCAAUCUUCACCAGUCACUGAGUCCUAUGCUUUUGCCAGUGCUUGUACACCUCUGCUGAGACUUCCCACCAGUAACAUUUCACAACAAAAAGUGGCACCUGGAAAUUGGCAAAUUACUCCCCUGUCCGUCCAUGACAGCAGAAGCUACCCACAGAAAUGGAGGGACUGGGUAAUCAAGAGACUGGUACUGUGUGAAUGAGCUAAUCAGCUUCCUGCUCUCCAGAGAACACGUUGUUCAGUGAUCACCCACAGCCAGAGAAACCAACCAAGUCUGAUGCAUCAAACUGCUUCAAAUUAAAGACUCAAGUAGAUUGUUCCAUCAUCUGUUCAAAUAUAUGGCUUGCUGAAACAUACUCUUCCAACCAAACCUAGCUGUCAGUCAAGUGGUAAAGUAAUAUAGUAGGACUUUUUGACCACACUAACCACUGAAGCUCAGAUGCCUUCCUCCAUGGCACCCUGUAUGCUCACUGGGGCCUGGGAUUCUCCCAAGACAUAACUGCUGCAUAACAGCUGCCACUACCAUUAGCUGCAUUCGUUAUUACAUUUGCUGUAGCUGCUUGGUUUAUAGGUCCCUUUUUCCCCAAGCUAAGUGCUUCAUACUGCCCUCCUAUCCAGAAUGGGGAGAAGUACCUUUUUUCUUUCUUUUUUUUUUUUUCUUUCUUUUUUUUUUUCUUUUUCAUUUGUGUGAGUUUCUGGGAUGGAAUGACAAUCUUCUACAAAUGCAGAAGAGACACCUUCUACCCUCACUCCCAUUUGGGACAGAUGUUUGCUGUAGUGAAUAUACAUGACACCUUUAUGAAACAUUUAUGUCAAGGAUUCCAUAUCAUGCUAAGCUUCUUGUACUAUUUAACCCAUCUGUCAUUAAAAGUAUCUUUGAAACAUAGUUUGAUAGAAGUCUAAAAAAUACAAUGCCUGGAUUUUUAGAAAUCAAAAUUUACCAUGUAAUAGUCCACAGUAUCAAGUGCACUUUUGUAAUCUGAAAAUUAAAUACAUUUCUUUUUCAGCCUUUUCAAUAGAAUAUUAUUUUGACAUGUUUUUCUACCACCUUACCUUGUUGGAAAUAAGCAGAAGUCAUGUACUUAUGUACAUAAUAAACAGAAUAAAAAUAAACA